rnacentral:lncRNA from 1 species
CUCUUACAUCCAAGUUGCUGAAUCCUGCCACAGAGACAAAGCUACAGCAUUCUAGAGAUCGCUGUAUCUAAUCCAUAUAAUGUUGAAAAGACAUUAAACCGAACGCAAACAGUAUUACCAUCGCAUGGAUCAGGUACAUACUGCACGUUCUACUUUCCAAACAGUAUUUAGAACCAGAAACGCAUAAUCUGGGACAUAAUUCCAUGUCACUGCGAAUGCAAGACCAUUUUAGCCCAACCAAAGCCACAAGUUAAUUUUUAACCAUGAUGGUGAUUAAACAUCUUGCUGAGGCAAAAAUACAGGAAUAUUCUGGGUGAGUGCGUUUUCUGAAACAGAAACCUGGCGGCCCUCCCUGUGCUCCUGCAGUGACAGUCCCACAUAGUGGGGGGGGCCAUGCGGUGCACACAGUCCUCCAAGCGGCUUAAGGAACGGCCCCCAUCAUACAGGCCAAUUAUGCAUGCAGCACAGGCAUUGCAACCACAGAAACAUGCUCAUUAUGGAGAUCCUUUAAAAUUCUGGGGAACAAUUAUGAAGUGUAACUAAGUCUUCCAGGGAACCUCGCAAUGCACCAGUAUGACCACAGCAGCAAAAACCAAAGCACUACAUAAUACUAGGAAGUCAGUGCACAGACACUAGCAUCCACCAUGCAUCCCAAAAGAUCAUUCAUUUGCAACCACUAACAAAAUCAUGACAUGGCCAACAGCUGUUAGCUCAGCUGGUUAGCACCCUUCUCCUAAGGGCUUACCCUUUGGAGGUCCAAGCUUCAAACCCGAGCAGUAGCCCCGAACAAGAACAAAAAAUCACAAGUUUACUCUUCCAGAAAUGGGAGCAGAUUCCCUAUUGAAUGGCGAUACGUAUUGAUUCCAU